UGACUAGUAGAACCCAAAAGUUAUUAAUUGCAAGUAGAAGUUAGAGUUUUGGCAGCCUCUUGCCAUGCCCUGGUUCUGUGUCAUUGCUGUGUGUGAAGGUGCUGCCAGGGCUCCCCAUUUCUCUGGUUUGGGAAAUUAAAUGGCAUUGCUCACAUGUCAGAAAGAGAGGGCUCAUUCCAAUCAAAUGCAUUGCCUGAGCUCUUCUAGUCGUAGUAUUCAAAGCUUUUUUCUAACGUUGUUGACUUGCUCAGCUUCUGUUCAUAUUUGAUUUUAUACCAAAAUGUUCUUGGAUGUGAUUUUGCAAGAUUCUGUAAUCAGCUGUCUGGUUUGCUCUUGGAUUUUUAAUGGUGUGUCACAACUGAAUGCAGCAUUUUGGGUGGGAACCCUUUAAUCUCAGGAUUGUUUUAGCAGCAGCUGAUUUUGCACAUCUAAGCAGAGAAAACAAAGACUGCAUGAACUGAAUAUUGUGCCUCGUUGCGGAACGCUCAGUACUAGGCUCAGGGAGCUGCGGUGGGAGCUGCGGGUUGUGCCAGGGGUGGGGAAUGGCCGGAGGCCCCGGCAAGGGGCCGGCAAUGAACACUGACCCUGUGUGGAGCAGGGGCGGUCGUGCCCGGGCACGCCGGGACUCUGCGGGAGCCGGGAACAGCGAGAGAGCCCGGGCCAAACAUCAGCACCGGGACAGGCACGGCCUGGGAGGGGGCACAGCCCGGGGGCGCCCGCAGAGCCUCCCUGCUCCAAAGCCCCUUCGCUGGGGCAGUGCUGGGAUCUUUGGGGCUCGGAGGAGCCGCAGGCGGGCGUUGCAAGCGGCUCCUUUGGGGCAGGAUUUUGUCCCGGUGCGGGGCAAUUGCCGCGGGCUGGGCGGGCUGGGGCCGCUGCUGAGCGCCGCCGCCUUUCCCCGGGAGCCCCCGGGCAGAGCUCUCUGCUCGGGGCCAAGGGCCGGGCGCCCGCUCGGCGGCUCCGAGCCGGCAGAGUUUUGGGGGUGCCGCUGUUGGGGCGGCACAGCCCCGGCGCUGGGCCGGGGGAUGCGUGGAACCCUCCCGCGCUGGGGGCUGGGCUGCCCGGCUCAGGCAAUGCAUUGUCAGCCUGGAGCCGCCUGGCGAUCGCCCGGGACCGGCAGGGCUGGGGCUUGGCACAGCGGAGAAGGGCAGCACCGGAGCUGGGACACUCUCAACAGCCCCAUAAGGGGGACCCCUGGCACCCUGGAACAUGGAGCCCGGAUUGGGGGAGCCCCGGCAGCCUGGAGAUGUUGGGACCAUGGACAAGGGAGACCCAUGGGUACCCCGGGGCCCUGAACGGGCACCCUGGACCGGCAGUACCCCUGGAGCCCCUGUGACACCCCACGGGGGAGCCCAGAGAAGGGGAACCUCUGGGAUUGCCAGGAGCCCCAGCAGCCCAGAGAGAGGAGAUACCAAUACACUCUGGAGCUGCAAAACGCCGGACGGGAGGGACCCCCUGAACCUCAAAGUGGAGAGACAAGAGAGGGGAAACUCCAGGAUGGGUGGUUUUUUGAGUGUGGCUGAAUCUGGGUGGUCUGGAGGUUUUUAUGGACACCAGACACCUGGGGAUCUCUAGGAAUAGACUUGGCCAAGAGGAACACCCAAGCCAAUGCGAUCACACUUCAUUUUCCCCCAAAACUGGGAUUCCAGUUCCCAAAGUUUGGCCAGAUGGAGGCGGAGAAGGCCAUGACAAAGAAGAAGUUGUUCUGGAACACGCAGGCAGAUAAGAAGCUGAGGAUGGAGACCAGGGAGGACAAAUCCCUACAGAAGAACCUAUUGGAAUAGGCCAUUUGGAGAGGCUUGACAGCACACAAGUUCAGUAGGGACAAAAAGCCCAGGAGUUCCUGCACGUGGAGGGGCUGCAAACACAGCUCAGGGAGCCCUGAGGAGGAAAGACCCAGCCUGGGCCGGGAAGGCAGCCAGAGAUUCAAAUGCAGCCAGAGAUUCAGAUGCAGCUCAGAGCUGAUGGUUCCUGAGCAGCUUCAUGGCAGGGAGAAGCCCUACAAGUGCUUGGAAUGUGGGAAGAACUUCAGCCAGUGCUCCAGCCUCCUCAGCCUACGCACCUUCUGGUGCACCUGGAUGUGACCCCCUUUGAGCAGGGCCCGAUUUGAGCUGCAAUAUCAGGAUUCCAACACCCAGGUUGGCAAGUGCCCCCAGCACAUCCACCAGCAACCUGGAGAUGCUGCAAGUCCAGUACAGUCAGAGCAGGGAGAGUCCAGUCACUUCCAGUAGGAGCACAAAACUCAAGGAACACCUGGAGGACCCACCCGGAGAAGAGUCCCUACAAGUUCUCUGGCUGCAGGAAGAGCCUGGAGUGCGGGAGACUCCUGGAUUCUUUGUAUCAGGGUGGACGCGUGGAACAAGACUCAGACGCUCUGUAAAUGCUAAAAGCUACAGUUGCAGUUUAUUAUAAGAGAGUCUGCAAGGAGCUGCCCGGCACAGCCACGUGCAGAUUAAAGAGAUAAAGGGAGGGAAAGACAGAGAGAAGAGGGAGGGUAGAGAGAGAGAGUAAAGAAGGUAAAGAGGGGAAGAAAAGAGGAAAAGAGAGAAAAGAGAUAGCGACUUCCCGUUUAUAACACAAUAAAUCUACUUCCAUCAUGACUAUUCUGAUCCCUAAGAACCAAUCCAAUACAAAAUACUAAUUCUAUAGCCUAUAAGAAUCCUUAUAUUAGCAUAGCAUGUGACAUUCUAAACUCUAAGAUCUAAUCUUUGGGUGCCGGUCAGUCUUUUGUGUCUUUUGGCCUUGCCCUCUGGCCAAAAGCAUUAAUUAAGAGUGGAUUAGCUUCAUCAAGCCAUCCUAUUGUGUUUAUGGUAAUUCAGUAACUAGGGCUUUCCUGUUCUACCUUCCCCAACAAUUCCCAGAAUCUGAGCAUUCAUAUUUGCAAGAUUCCUCAGUUUCAUCUUCUCCAACACUGGAGGAACAGAGGUCCCACCAGAACCACCACUCGAAGCAGGAGGUGGUGACAGCUCUGCAGCCUGGGGACUUGGACCACCGGGGGGGCCCAAGACCAAAACCCCAGCAAGUGGCUCACACAGCCCCUCACCCAAUCCCCAAAAUCCCACCCUUGGGAUCCCUCAUCCCUCUCUGCAGUCUCCUCUCCAACAUCUCUAGGCCUCUGGGAAGAGCCCAAAGGGAUGGAAGUGCCUAAAAUGCUGCUGAAGUGCCUGAACUGCUGCCAGCAGAAUGUUCCUGUCCACAAGCCUCUCCUGGUCAGUGCCAUGAGGGGCUGGGAAGGGGUUUAGGGCAUCCUGAGGGGAUUGGAAGGGGAUUUGGUGGCUCUUGGGGGCAUUUGUGGUUCUGGGGAGGGGUUUAGGGGCUUUGGAGGGGUCUGUGGAGGAAUUUGGGGAGUUCUGGAAGGGCUGUGUGGCUUAGAGAGAAUUUGGGUGGGUCUUGGGAGAGAUGGGAAAGAGUUUUGAUGGAUCCUGGGGCCAUUUCUAAGGCACAGAGUGGUGUUUGUGGUGGGGGGGCAGCCGGGAUCUGUGGGGUGGUUUGAGGGGGCUGCGAGUGGCUGUGGGGCUGGGAGGGGGUUUUAGGCUGGUCAUGACCCCCCCGGCCCGCAGAGCUGCCACCAGACCCUGCACCCAAGCUGCUGUAGGUGGACAGGGGCUCCAUGCUGGAGUUGGUCUUCCUGGCACCGAGGGAGUGAGGGGGGACCCUCAGGGGCCGUGUGUGACCCCUUCCCCAUCCCGGUGUAACCCGCUUUUUCUUCCCACAGGGCUCCUGUCCCAGCUCCUGCUGCCCCCGGGAGGGAAUUCAGGGAGGGGGCAGAGGGUGUGGGCAGCCCCGCCGGGGGAUGACCCCACCCCAGCCCCUAGUUCAGCACCAAGCUGGGCUUGGGGCCGCAGGAGGAAGAGGCCGAGGGGAAGCAGAUCCUGCAGGUGGGACAGUGCUUGGGCUCAGGGCAAGGUCCUGCCCUGCACACCUGGCUCAGGUGUAACCCUGCCCUGGGAAGGGAGCGGGACAUUCCCAUCCCCACGGAUCCUGUCCCCAAAAUCCCACUCUCUGGAUCUCUCACCCAUCUCUGCAGUCCCAGCUCCAACUUCUCCAGGCCUCUGGGAAGAGCCUAGAGGGAUGGAAUUUCCCACCCAGGUCCCCACCAAGCCCCAGUUUGGAUGUGCAGCCCCCAGUUUUCCGUUUCCCUCUCCUUUCUCCCCGUUUUCCCGCGGCCCCAGCGGGUGGGAGCAGCCGAGAGCCCCGCGCUGCCCGUCCCGACCUGUCCCGGCUCUAUCCCCGCCCCUGCCGCGGGCUGCGAGGGCUUCGGGAGCGGGGCAGGAGCAAUGCGGAUGAUGGAGCGGUGAUGGAGAAACAGCGGGACAAGGGCUGGAGCGAUAAAGACAAGGAGGAGUAGGAGGGGUGGCGGAGGAACAGGAAGAGGAGGAGGAGUGGGAGGAAGAGCGGGAGGAAGAGCUGGGAUAGAGGAGGAGGAGCAGGAACUAGAAGCGGAGGGACCACGAGGUCCAGCCCUCGCUGUGUCCGCAGUCCUCCCGCCCCCUGGGACAUUGUCUCCCCCCCCCUCCAUCUCGCAGACAUGGGCUCAGGCAGGAGGAUCCCCAACCAAAUGCUCUCACACCUUGUUUCCCCCCAAAACUGGAUUUCCUAUUCCCAAACCUUGGCCUGAUGGAGGAAGAGGAGGCUGCAAGGAAGAGGAGGAUGGCCCCAGAGCCCCAGGCAGACAAGGAGCUGAGCAUGGAGACCAGGGAGCACAAAUCCCUGCAGCAGAACCUUGUGGAACCAUUUGCAGCAGCUCCACAGUGCAGGAAUCCAGUGAGGAGGAAAAGUCCCAGAGAUCCUACAUGAGGAGGGGCUGCAAAUGCCAUUCACGGGGAUUCCAGGAGGAAGGACCCAGCCUGAGC